rnacentral:misc_RNA from 1 species
GGUUAUCAUCUUCAUCUCCAGCUCCAGCUCAAAUUCAAUUCAACAGCCGCUUUCUUUUUGUCCGUCGAAGAAGAAGUAGCAGCAGCUUUGCAACUCACAAAGACAAACCCCACCGAGUCUUAUUCUCCUUGAUCCGACUCACUGAGUCUCAUUUCUCCUCCUCCUGGUCUUUUCUUCCAAUGAGUUGAAAGAGAAAGAGGAUCGCGUAUAGGAUCGCCAUGGC